AUUCAACUGAUGAGUCCUUAAUGGGAGGAAAUGCGCAUCCUGGAU
rnacentral:hammerhead_ribozyme from 1 species